CGACCUGCACGAAUGGCGUAACGAUGGGGGCGCUGUCUCUACCCGAGACUCAGUGAAAUUGAAAUUGCAGUGAAGAUGCUGUGUACCCGCACCUAGACGGAAAGACCCCGUGAACCUUUACUAUAGCUUCACAGUGAACUUUGAGCAUGUUUGUGUAGGAUAGCUGGGAGGCUUUGAAGUGGGAACGCCAGUUCUCAUGGAGCCAACCUUGAAAUACCAGCCUGACAUGUUUGAGGUUCUAACUUGGACCCCUUAUCGGGGUUGAGGACACUGUGUGGUGGGUAGUUUGACUGGG
rnacentral:rRNA from 1 species